AUAAAAACAAAAAUUAGAGCACUUCAUUGCAUAAGCUACGGAUCCUGAAGCUGCAGAGGAUACCAAAGUUUUUAGGAGACAGAAAGGGCUCUAUUACAUGGCAUAUCCAGAUCAAUAGGUGUCCAAUAGAGGUCACCUUUUUACUGAUUUAAUUAUUGACCCUUUUUAUUUUACAUUUGAUUCCUAAUUUGGCAAUUUCUCAGGACUUCACAGUAAUUUCUGAACUAAUUUAACCUCAAUGAU